rnacentral:rRNA from 1 species
UACGGGGGGGGUCAAGCGUUGUUCGGAAUUACUGGGCGUAAAGGGCUCGUAGGCGGCCAACUAAGUCAGACGUGAAAUCCCUCGGCUUAACCGGGGAACUGCGUCUGAUACUGGAUGGCUUGAAUCCGGGAGAGGGAUGCGGAAUUCCAGGUGUAGCGGUGAAAUGCGUAGAUAUCUGGAGGAACACCGGUGGCGAAGGCGGCAUCCUGGACCGAUACUGACGCUGAGGCGCGAAAGCGUGGGGAGCAAACAGG